UUUUUUUUAUUUGCGGUAUGGUUACCUUCGGCUAAACAAUGCUUUAUUAAAUUAAUUUGUGUGAUGGCUUAAUGAAUCGGUGAACCGUAGUUAUAUGUGACUAUGCUUUCAAUCAGCUUUGCUAUUGCGGAGUAGAGUGGCAGCUUUGGCUGCCAAGGGUCGAUUCAUCUGGGAAAUAAUGUAUAUUUCGGUAUGCAUCUCAGUUGGACCUGAUAUCAGGCAAGAUUACCCGCUGAACUCAAGCAUAUUAAUAAGCGGAGGAAAAGAAACUAACAAGGAUUCCCCUAGUAACGGCGAUUGAAGCGGGAUGAGCUCAAGAUUAAAAUCUCCGUGCAAUUUUUGCGCGGCGAAUUGUAGUCUAUAGAAGCGUGAUCAGUAUGGGCACUUGGGUCAAGUUCCUGGGAAGAACACAGCAUGGAGGGUGAUACUCCCAUUCGUCCCCAAGUUGCUUGUGCGUACGACGUGUUUUCUUUGAGUCGCGUUGUUUGAGAAUGCAGCGCAAAGUAGGUGGUAAAUUCCAUCUAAAAGUAAAUAUUGGUGCGAGACCGAUAGCAUACAAGUACCGUGAGGGAAAGAUGAAAAGAACUUUGAGAAUAGAGUUAAAGAGUACCUGAAACUGCUGAAAGGUAACCAAAUCGUUUCCAGUGUCUAUAAUCCGUGGUAUAUUUCAUUGGUGAGUGUAUGCGUGCGUGUGCUGUUGUAGUGGCCUUUUUGGCUGCGCUCGGCGUGUGUGCUGUGUGUGCUUGCUGGUGCCCUGUGCUGUGGUNNNNNNNNNNNNNNNNNNNNNAGUUCGUAUGCUGCGGGAAAUGGCCACUGAGGAGGUAGGGCUUACGCUUGCGUUUGUCUGUUAAUCUGGUGAGAGUAGUCGCGGUUGGGACUGAGAGUGCCCUACAACGUGUUUAUGAGUGGAUUUGGGUCUCCGUGUGCGCCGUGUGCGGAUAGCUUGCUAUGCGUGUGUGGCUGUGUAUGGAUUGAUGCGGAUCGUAACUUGUAGCCGUUCGGGCCGUUGACGAAAUGGAGAUUUGACGUCUUGAAACACGACAAAGGCGUCUUAACAUAUGUGCAGUGUUAGGGUGUGGAAACCGUAAAUGAGUUAAAAGGGGGUACGGGUUAACUGGUCGGUAGAAAUGUGCGGCUUCGUUGCGGGCGGUGAUAAAUCGCUGUCAUGAAUCUCGUGUUGAAAUAUUUGAGUUCGGGCCAAUAUGUUGUACCGAAGAUGGGAUAGCUGAGUAGGGUGAACCAGGGAAACUCUGGUGUAAGUCGUAGCGAUUCUGACGUGCCAAUAUCGAUCUGUGAAGUUGGUGGAUAGGGCGAAAGACUAAUCGAACCAUCUAGUAGCUGGUUCCCGAAAUUUCCCUCAGGAUAGCAGCAAACUUAUUUACGAUAUUUUAUGAGGAAAAGGAAUAUUGAGUUCGGGGAGAAACUUCUCACCUAUCUCAACCUUAAAUUGUUUUAAGACCCGCAGUUUUAUUGAAUUUGCGGAUUGAAUAUCAAGUUGUAGUGGCCAUACGGUGUAAGAUCGUCUGGAUGCGGGAUAACGAACGAAAGUUAAUAGCCAAAAUACUCGCUCACCUAGAUACCGUAAAAUGUGUGGUUAUUAGGUACAGCAGACGAUGGCCCAUGGAAGUCGAACGCUAAGGAGUCUGUAAACUCACGCCGGAUAAAUAGCCCUGAAAUGGAUGCGUGAAGGCGAGUUACUAUACUUUGCGUACCGAUAGGAUCUUUAUGUAAGGUUAAUGGGUAGGAGGCUGAAGGUGUUAUGAAGCUUGUGGUGAGCUAAUGAAACGGCUUUAGUGCAGUCCUUGGUGUGUCGUAGCAAAUAUUUCAAAUGCGAACUUUGAAGAUUGAAGUGGGAAAUAGGUUCCUGUGAUUCAGUAAUUGGACAGGGUGAGUCGAUCCUAAGAGUAGGAAAUUCGAUUUGAAAGCUUGGCUGUUUGAGGCGUGGGUGUCCGCUUGCGUUUUGUAUGGGCCUCUGUAUCGAAGGGAAUAGGUUAAUUCCUGACGAGCGGGAUAUUUGUAACACUACGAACCCAGGAGGACGCUAGCGUGAGCCCAGGAAAGUUCUCUUUUCUUUUUACAAGCUGUCUGCCUCCUUGGAAUCGGUUUAUCCGCGAUAAAGGAGGAUGCCUGGCAAGCACUUUUCAUUUUUGAAAUGUCCUUGCGCCCUGCUGUGAAAAUCUGCUAUAGAUUUAUUCGCACCCUCGUUCGUACAUAACGCAUCAGGUCUCCCAAUGUCAGCAGCCUCUAGUGAUAGAGAAUGUAGAUAGGAAGUCUGGCAACAUAGAUCCGUAACUCUCGGAAAAGGAUUGGUCUGAGGGUGGCCCUAUAGGGUCUUGUCGAAAGCUUGUGCGCCUACGUUUGGCUGCGUCUGGACCUUUCGAGGAUGGAUGCGCCUGAUGUCGGGUGUCUUGCUAUAUUCGAUAGAAAGGUGGUUGGUUUUCGGACCGCUGCUGUUUCCUUAGUGCGUUGAAAACCGCUCAGAACUGGCGGACAAGGGGAAUCCGACUGUUUAAUUAAAACAAAGCAUGUGAGGCGGAGACGGUGUUGACACAAUGUGAUUUCUGCCAGUGCUCUGAAUGUCAAAAGUGAGAAAAUUCAACCAAGCGCGGGUAAACGGGGAGUAACUAUGACUCUCUAGGUAGGCAAAUGCUCGUCAUCCUAAUAGUGACGCGCAUGAAUGGAUUAAUGAGAUUCCCACUGUCCCUAUCUACUGUCUAGCGAACCCACAGCCAAGGGAACGGGCUUGGAAUAAUCAGCGGGGAAAGAAGACCCUGUUGAGCUUGACUCUAGUCUGACGUUGUGAAAUGACUUGAGAGGUGUAGAAUAAGUGAGAGGCUUUGCCGUCCGUUAAAUACCACUACUUCCAAUGUUGUUUCACUUAUACCAUGGUGUAACAAUUGUGCGGCUUCGCGGCCGUUAGGUUCUAAAAAUAAGCUUGAGCUUUGCUCGAGCGAGUUACGUGGAAUACAUCGUCAAGCGGGGAGUUUGGCUGGAAAAAUUGGAAGUUCAUUAACUUUUCCGGUUAUUCCUAAGCUAAAAAUUACGCUAUGAUAGUAAACUAAAAUAUAAAACCUUGGCCAUGGUUCCCAUGGUACUUACACAUCCAGACGACUUUGCCGUAGUGUGUAGGCUUAUCGAUGCUCAACAGCAACGAAGUACACAGUGAAGUACUUCAAACGCUGAGUGGCGGAGAGACUAACGAUCUGGACCAGUGAGUGGCGCGGACGGAAUCGCAGUGAAUAAAACCCAAAACUCGCUUAGUACAGUCGCACUUGUGUGGCUAUAACAAGCUUGAGUUGCGGGUAAAUCUCUGCUUGAAUUCUUGAUGCUUCGAUAUUGACGGGUGUGUGAUUAUUAGCCCAUGGUCUCAAAGCCGUGUCGUUAAAAAUUGUAUGCCAGUCCGAGUGUGGAACCAAUCACUAGGGGGAAAGCUGAUGCGCGAAAACUUGAUAGAUUGGUCUCAUGAUGUGUCUUGAUAGUCUGCACUUGUGUAGUCUGGAUAGAGAUAAAGUGUAGAAUCCUUG
rnacentral:rRNA from 1 species